AUUACACAUUCAACAUAAAGUUUUUGUUUGAGCUUCAUCACUAAUGUUUUUGUGAGGUACUGUAUCAGUGUAUCUAACCUUAAAUUCUCUAUAUAUAUCUUUUUUCUCCCUCUCUCUAACCUUAAAUUCUCUCUUUAACUCUUCGUUUCUACAAAAACACCUCCCUCUUGAACACUAAAUGCUACAAAAAUGGAGGCCCAUGAAAUUGAGUGAUGAGCUGGAAGUCACGGUGGGCUGGAGCUAUUUGACUGGAGAAAGAGAAUUCAUCUAGUGCAAAGUUUGAUGGUUAGCUAUUAUACCACUAGAUUUAUCAUAGUUAUGGUUAUGUUGACUGUGUCUAUUCUAGUUCUACCACCGGUGCUGCCACCAUUACCACCGCCACCAUUGGUUCUACUCUUUGUACCAGUCAUGAUCAUGUCCCUUCUUGUUUUGUUGGCCUUAAGUCCAAUAUCACAAAUGCCCAACGUGGAGACCACCAGUGCAAUUUGAUUAUGGAAGGAAUCCUCGAGACUUCUGGUUUCUCUUUCAUCUUCAAUUUCGCUGCAGCCUUCUUCAAUAUUUGUGCUACAAGAUACUUGAACGCUAUCUCCAUGUAAUGAAGAAUCCAUGAUUUGAUUAAUGUCUGAUGGCAAAUCGAGAUUGGUAAAAGAGAUUGUCAUUAUGAUAAGAAAUUCCAGCUCUCAAUUAACGCGUCGCGUCAAAGUGUAAGGUUGACUUCCAAACGGACGUGGACAGCCUUGAAAUAUAGCGACGAGUGUGUGAAACGUCGCCAAACCUCUGACGCCUUAAAUUUCGCUCUAAAUUCCCAUAGAAAGCAAAUUUCAGCUUUUCACAAAAGAGGAGCUGAGCACAAACCCGCAAGGAUUCUGUGAACUACGGGCGAUAUUCAAGGAUUAAGGUAAUCUGUGGUACAUCUUGUAGGACAGGGGAUAUAAAUUAUUGAUUGAUUUUGGCUUGAGGAUUCAUGUAAUCCUUGCAGAAAUCUAGCAUACUUGUGUGCAAUUUGUUCUUCUUUUCUUUGAGAAUAUUGUUUGUUAAUUAUACAAUAUCAUUUGGUUGUUAAUUUAAACAUUAUCCUCAUUAAUAUCA